CCUGGCGGCAGGAGCGCGGUGGUCCCACCUGACCCCAUGCCGAACUCAGAAGUGAAACGCCGUAGCGCCGAUGGUAGUGUGGGGGCGCCCCAUGCGAGAGUAGGGAACUGCCAGGC
rnacentral:rRNA from 1 species